rnacentral:rRNA from 1 species
GUGUGCACGCGCUCGUUUGCCAUCUUUCUAGCAAACGGGUCUGCCAUUAACUUGGUGGGUUCGGGAUCUAGAUCAUUUACUUUGAAAAAAUUAGAGUGUUUAAAGCAAGCAAUUGCUCUGAAUACAUUAGCAUGGAAUAAUAAUCUAGGACUUCGGUUCUAUUUUGUUGGUUUCUAAAACUGAAGUAAUGAUUGAUAGGGACAGUUGGGGGUGCUAGUAUUGGCCGGCCAGAGGUGAAAUUCUUGGAUUCGGUCAAGACUAACUUAUGCGAAAGCAUUCACCAAGGAUGUCUUCUUUAAUCAAGAACGAAAGUUGGGGGAUCGAAGACGAUCAGAUACCGUCGUAGUCUCAACCAUAAACUAUGCCAACUAGGGAUGGGUGAACGUUGCUUUUUCGACUUCAUCCGCACCUUAUGAGAAAUCAAAGUCUUUGGGUUCCGGGGGGAGUAUGGUCGCAAGGCUGAAACUUAAAGGAAUUGACGGAAGGGCACCACCAGGAGUGGAGCCUGCGGCUUAAUUUGACUCAACACGGGAAAAC